rnacentral:misc_RNA from 1 species
UACGGGGGGUGCUAGCGUUAGUCGGAAUUACUGGGCGUAAAGCGCGCGUAGGCGGCUAAGUAAGCCGGUUGUGAAAGCCCCGGGCUCAACCUGGGAAUUGCAUCCGGUACUGUUUAGCUAGAGUGCAGAAGAGGAAGGUAGAAUUCCCGGUGUAGCGGUGAAAUGCGUAGAGAUCGGGAGGAGUACCAGUGGCGAAGGCGGCCUUCUGGUCUGACACUGACGCUGAGGUGCGAAAGCGUGGGUAGCAAACAGG